UACGUAGGGGGGCAAGCGUUGUCCGGAUUUACUGGGCGUAAAGAGCUCGUAGGUGGUUUGUCGCGUUGUCCGUGAAAACUCACAACUCAAUUGUGGGCGUGCGGGCGAUACGGGCAGACUGGAGUACUGCAGGGGAGGACUGGAAUUCCUGGUGUAGCGGUGGAAUGCGCAGAUAUCAGGAGGAACACCGGUGGCGAAGGCGGGUCUCUGGGCAGUAACUGACGCUGAGGAGCGAAAGCGUGGGGAGCGAACAGG
rnacentral:rRNA from 1 species